AAUCUGAGUUUACCUUAAACAAAUAUAAAAACAUUUUCAUUAUUCACAAUGCCGUCGGUUUUUUUGCCCCAAAAAUGCUUGUGGCUCAUGCCUGUGAGCUUGAGGAUAUCCUCUGAACCUCUCCAACAGACACCAGGGGGUUACCGAGUUAACUUGAUAACUGCACUGAGUAAAACCCACAACCCUCCCAAAUGUGAAGCUUGGACUGACAUAAAGAAAGCUGUUCUAAACCAACCCAGCAAUCCUGCUUUGUGAAAUAUACCUCAAAGGUGUAUUUUCAAAGGCAAAUUAGUCACCAGUGUGCGUGGACAUGGGCUAGGGUGUGCUUUGUGGAUGGCGGGCACUCUCGUGCCACGCCGAAUCAGGUCAGGUGAAUGACGGUUAUCAUGGCAAGCUUGCCUGUCAGAUCCCAUUUGCUGGGUAUGCUAGUGAAUGUGACUGUGGGGGGGGUGGGGGGUGGAGGGGGGGACCAGGAGGGCCUCACUGUAGACUGCAGUCUAAGCAGCCCUCUGGCAGAGUCUAUGUGUCCGUGUCCCCAGAGAUCACGCCAGCACACAUCUUGCAGCGACAUCUCUGCCUCCAAACUGACAGUUGUAUUUUGUGGGCCCCGUCAUCUGUGAUUUUCGCUGGUCGGCGGUGAAGGUGACUGAUGAUAUUUAGGAAACGUGACAACUGGCAGUGUGCAGGGAGGCAGAAACGUUGCUGCGUGCGGUUGGGUUUCCUCCUUGCAAGACGGAAGACCUUCAGUUGAAUAUGUAGGAUGCUUGAAGAGCUCACGUACGUUUAGCACGGUGGGCUGCCAACCCAUCCGUUUGUGGUCGCGGAGGCAGGCUAUGUCAUGAAGCAAGACGCAGGCUGGGCCCCACGUUGCUAGUCAGUCACAGCCCACCGUCUACAAAUGAGAAAAUAAAACUGAUUUCUGAUAACUGUAUACGGCCCGCGUGACCAGACUCUGUCCUGUCAUACAUUAGGCUGAGACUGAGACAAUUUAAUUCCUCCCAUCAUCUCAUUGGCUGAGGUGCGCUCCUAAAACCUUCUGCGGGUAGUUAGUUAAUUUCUCCUCAGAUUACAUAAUGAUGCAUUACGCUUAAACGCCGCCAAAUGGAAGGGGUGGAACUGCUUUGCGAUCUACUGAGCGUUUAGCGCAGAACAGCAACUGCUGAACGAGGAAAUGCCUGGCUGAUAAUAAAUGCAGUGCUGCCGCUAAGCAUGAGAGUGGCGUUAAGCAUGUGAUGCUACAUCUCUGCUGAGAAAACGCUCAACUGAGAAAAGCAUCACAGCUCAGCGGUUAAGAAAAACACAUGCAAUGCUGUGGUAUUUCAAAAAUGCACUUUUUUGACAAUGAUUCUUUACACAGAGUGCAUUAAAAUAAAAUGGAAUACAUACACAAACGUACACUUGGCUAUACAUAUGUAUCUGACGUCAUGAGAUCAGUUGCAAAAACUCACACGUGCACUCAUCAAGCAAACACCACUUCAUCUCGCGCAUCAACUUAAAUCGUCGUGGUGUCGUCCAAUGGCUGCAGGUAGUGUUAGGUGAGAUGGACAGCGUUUGAUACAAGGGAUGCAAGAUCCAUAUCAUCUUCCAACACAUUCAGAGAUAGUUCGUACCAGCUACGAACCGACCAGUUGACAGGCCUUCAUCAGAUAAGACUCGCUUCGUGACGCGCGUAACGCUUGAAUCCUGAGAGAGACACGCCGCUGCGCUCGGCGCCCGUUGGCAUGGCGAUAAGGACACGCGCUAUCCGCCCUGCCUCGGCCCCGCCCCUCCCGCUGGGCUGGGCCGUGCGGAAGCCCCACCGCGGGAGCAGCCUGGCGUCUCUCCGCAGGAAGUUUCCCCGCAGCCACUUCCUCUUUCUCCUUUCCCUGAGUCCGCCGUGACACCAGGGCCCAGUUUUGCCAAGCAGGAUCUCUGAGUCAGCUGGAUGACUGCGCUGAGUAAAACCCGGACACCCUCCCGAAUCGGGAACACGGAGUGAAGUAAAGAGCCGUCCCGGGUUUUACCCAGCGCACCGAUCCAGCUGACUCUGUAAUCCUGCUUCCUGAAAUACCCCCCAGGGCCGUGCCGGAAUCAGCGUCUGGCCUCUACUGCAUCCUCAAAAUAUGUGCUGUCUGGUAAACAUACUGCGUACUGUCUAGUACAUACGUUUUAGUACGCGAUGGGCAGUAAAAAAAAUGUCUUACAUAUUACUUUCCAGCUGUACAUAUAUAUGUCUUAUAUGGCUUAUGCCAUUCAUUUAAAGGGCAGUUUUAUGCUGGACACACUCUGUCUGUCUUUGGGGUUGCUCUGUCCUAACAGUGGGGGGCU